UUUUAAAAUUCACUUAACCACAAGAACUCACCAACAUGGUAACAGCAUCACUGAAAAUUAUUCCAUCUCCAUUGCCCUGCCACCUACCUUCAAAUAUCUUGCUAUAAAGAGAAUAAUAUAGAGAUGAAAAUAUAAAAUAAUAUAGUCAUGGAAAAUGAUACUCUCAGUAACUAUCUUGAGGAAAAGGUCCUAGCAUAGAAGGGCACAAGUGUAUAUGGUAUUAAAUCAUUUAUGACUUAAGAGGGAAUGAGCAUGGUACAGAUCUAUGAUCUUAAUCACUCUGAGACUCUCCCAGGGUGGAAAUUGCCUACAUUGAUGUAACAAAUCUAUUAUUUGUGCUCUUAGUUUCCUUGAACUUUUGAGCCUAAGUUACUCCCCAAGGUUGUAUAGCAAGUAUGUGAAAAAUGUGCAAUUUAAAUCCAGUUAUUCUUGAUUUCAAGUCUGAAAUAAUGCUAGUAUACUGGGGUAUAUUUGAACCUUCAGUACCCCUUAGUGAAGUAAGGCUGAUGGCCUCACUCACUGGGACCAGGUCUCAAUAAGGCCUCCAAGACAGUGUUGAUGAACAAGUAAAAAGGAUUUAUUUAUAAUAAACAAAGGAUGAGAAAGGGAGGAUCAAAGAACAAGGUUUCCAUAAUCUCACUAGCCUCCCCCUUCUAAAUUUCCCUCAGGGGAAAUUCUUCAUUUGCUUGAUGCUCCCUAAACCCUGGACAAUCUCUGGCUAAGAUUCUCCAAACCUCACUGACUACACCUGAAUUGAAUUAUUACUCCAGGUGGAUUUAUAAGUAGAAACAAACUUUAACUGGCCGAGGAAUGAACCUUUGAUGACUGAAUCCAACCCAGUUGGGCCAGGAACCAAGAUUUGUCUCAGGUCUUCAGACCAACACUGUCUCUUGAUCAGCUGUGCUUGCUUGACCUUUGAGGGGAAAUGAUCCCUUCCAGGUCCUUUGCCUAUGGAAAGAAAGAAGAGAAAAGGAGAGAAUGCAUUGUGGCUGGUGAGAAUACAGAGGCUAUUAUAUUGAUCUCACCAUCUCUCCAGAAUAUGCACCUGAGUUCAAUAUUCUAAAACAAACCAAAAAAAAUGGAAAAUUCCUAAAUUACACCUUUUAAAGAUCAAGCAACUUUUAUAUAUUUUAAUAAUAAGUUAAGCCAUACAGAAGUGUAGGAUAUUAUAUACAUUUGUUUAUGUGUUUACUGGUUUAUUUCAUUUUUGCUUUGACCUUUUUUCUGAACUUGAUGGCUUUGAUUGCUUAGAAUAGACUAUAAAAGUUAAAAGAACAUCUAUUAAUAAAGUAAAUUGUUAUUCAGUAAAAUUCUCA
rnacentral:lncRNA from 1 species